UUUCCGUAGGUGAACCUGCGGAAGGAUCAUUAUUGAAUUGCGAUCUGGGGAAAAGGCGAGCGAGCGAAGAUUGGUAGAUCAUAGGGAUUGUCGCUGGCCUUUGGCAAUGAAGGCAUGUGCACGUUCCGAGUUCUCCUUAGUCCACGUUUAUCCUUUCCUUUGGACGACCUUUAUUUCACACCUCUGCACCUAUUGUAGGUCCCGCGAGGGUUCUAUGUCUUUAUCUACACCACAACUCCAGAAUGUCAGAAUACGUCGACCGUCCUGGCUAACCCUUGGUUUGCGACGGUAAAAAAUGUUACAACUUUCAGCAACGGAUCUCUUGGCUCUC
rnacentral:misc_RNA from 1 species